rnacentral:rRNA from 1 species
AGUGGCGAAUCUUCCACAAUGGGCGCAAGCCUGAUGGAGCAACGCCGCGUGAAUGAAGAAGGCCUUAGGGUCGUAAAGUUCUGUCCUUAGGGAAGAACCGUGGGUAUAGCAAAUGAUACCCACCUGACGGUACCUUUGGAGGAAGCACUGGCUAACUACGUGCCAGCAGCCGCGGUAAUACGUAGAGUGCAAGCGUUGUCCGGAAUUAUUGGGCGUAAAGGGUACGCAGGCGGAUAGUAAAGUCAAGCGUGAAAGGUGUCGGCUUAACCGACAGACUGCGUUUGAAACUGAUUAUCUUGAGUGUAACAGAGGAGAGUGGAAUUCCUAGUGUAGUGGUGAAAUACGUAGAUAUUAGGAAGAACACCAGUGGCGAAGGCGACUCUCUGGGUUAACACUGACGCUGAGGUACGAAAGCUGGGGGAGCAAACGGGAUUAGAUACCCCGGUAGUCCCAGCCGUAAACGAUGGAUACUAGGUGUUGGAGGUUCGAAUCCUUCAGUGCCGGAGUUAACGCAUUAAGUAUCCCGCCUGGGGAUUACGAUCGCAAGAU